UAGUUUCUAUAAAUGAUUGUAAAAUAAGAUUGCAAUUUUCAUAGUUCAUAUCAUACACUUAUAAUCAUAAAGAAUACAUUUAUCUACAGUUUUCUUCGUUAAAUAAUUUGUUUAACUACUUAAAUUACCAUCAGAGUUUAAGCAAAUGGCGAGAAUUUCCACCACAUUCUUCAUCAUUAGCGUCAUAUUGGUAGUUUUUCUAACCACAUGUAGUCUAACAUUGGCCCAAUACAUUGGAGACAAUACUGGGAUUUUAUGUACGGCGGUUGGUGGAACUUGUGGAAUCCCAGGAGUUUAUGAUUGUUGUGACAGAAUGAUCUGCUUCUUGUUGAAUCCUGAAAACCCUUAUGCCGGUGGAGUUUGUAGGUAUUAAUCUCAUCGAGGGCAUGCCAUUUGUUCUGGAUUACGAGAUUACCAAGCUUCUCCUAGCACUUCUUAAUUUCACAAAUAACGUCGAAUUUGCAACUUUUUGAUAAAGAUCGAGUAUAUGUAGUCUGAAUGUUUGAUGUAUGCCUAAGAUUUAAUAUAAAGUUAGUAUUUGGGAAUUGGGAUCCCUUCGAGGUUGA